CUGGACAUUGUGUGUGAUGCCCACCCCAAUCCCAUCCCUGCUCCACGUUGAUUUCCAACUCCGUGGUGUGCUCCACAAGGUCUCUGACCCUGCAGGGGAGCAUUUGCUGAUCCCUUGCUGUGCCUGUGCUGGUGGAAUGUUAAAUACCUGAUCCCACAGAGAUUCCUCCUGCAGGACACAUCCUUUCCGUGCCCAGGAUAAUGGGGUGGCUCUGAUGAGCAGCCAUGGGAGGGGUUUGUGUCCACAUCCUGGGGCCACAUGCUUUAUUUCCUGCACACUCUUCAAUCCCAGCUCUCCAGGCAGUGAUUAAUGCUCUCAAGGACUUCUCCAUGGCAACAAUCAAUCUGGCAUUCCCUAAUUUUCAAGUGCUUUGCUUUGCCACAUUAACAGUGUUUCCUGUUAAAGGACGUGUGUUGUGUCCUGUAUGUUUUUAAUGUGGGAUUUUAGUCCUGAAUGGGAAGCUUAAAUUUACGUAUUUCCUUUUAUUCCAAAGAUUUCCGAGGUAGCAGCAGCAGAGCGCUUUUCCCUCCAUAUGAUGUGGUCACCUGUGAUAAUUGGGAACAUCUUUGUCCUAUAUUUCUGUCUAGGGUUAGUAAAUAAAUGAUUCCACACUGCAGAGAUGCAGAAGCUGACAAGAGCAUCAGAAUCCAUUGGAAGAGGGAGGCAGGAGGUCCAGACAGACACGAACGGGAACAGCAAGAAGCAAUUUCCUUCUCAAUCACGGAGCCUGUGCCCAGCAGUGUGUCCUCAGCAGAGUCCACCCAGUCUUGUAAGGACAUCUUUCCUGCAGGGAGUUUUGCAGAGAUUUUCUACCUGUAAAUAGGAAGAAAGGUAAGAGUGAUUUGUUCCUACUCCCUUGUAACUGAAGUAUUUGAUGAGUUUUACUCCAACAUUCAUUUUCCGCCUCACAAAGCAGGUUCAGGCCAGUCCUCAGCUCUGAUUUUCACUGCCAGUCAAUCAGGGAACUUGCAGAAGUGCCACAGCCACAGAUGACCGAGCCUGUGCAAAGAUUUAGACCUCGUGACUGCUUUUUUUCAGUAGUACAAAUGCUGAUUGUGCUUUUCUUUCUUUCAUGCAACUUGGGCUCUGUCUAUUCAGAUCUUUAUACAAAUUUGGAUUGCAGUUCUUAUCUUUUAAUGGUUGUCCAGCACAUGCACAGAGCAGCCGUGGCAGGGCCCUGCUCUGGAGGCAGAACAUCCUGACGGCAGCAGAACGGGGCUGGAUUAAUUAAAUGACCCUGACUGAAAGACAGCCAAGGCCUGAGGCCUCACAUCCCACAGGGAAAUGUCCACUUCUGUCACAUUUGUUGUUCAAGGGCCUAAAAUGCUUUAGAGGGUGAGAUUUUUCAAAAGAGCCUGUGGAGAAUGUAAUUCUUCCUUGGGAAGUGCCCAAACCAGA
rnacentral:lncRNA from 1 species